GGGAAUGGGUUGAACAUUAAAAAUUGUAUGUUCUGUAUUUCAUAGAAUUUUGUUUUUCACGCGAGCUCCACAUACGACAGUAACACUUUUCUUUGUUAUUUCACAUUAUCUAUCGGCAUGCGAUAUGGUCGGUUCAAAAUCCACCUUAAAAUUGUGGUCACAUUCUUGUCUAUCUUCUUUUCCAUUAGUCCUCCUAUUCCUUUGUCCUGUUCAGGGAAAGUCAUCUACCAUGGCUCCUCAUUGAUUAUAGAAACAAAAAGACCAUAACCAGAAACACAAAAGCUAGGUAAGGCUAAUCAUACCAUUUAUUCUUUUAAACUUUACACAAUUAAUAUAAUGCCA
rnacentral:lncRNA from 1 species